rnacentral:rRNA from 1 species
GAUGAACGCUGACAGAAUGCUUAACACAUGCAAGUCAACUGUGGCGGAAGGGUGAGUAACGCGUAAAGAACUUGCCUCACAGCUAGGGACAACAUUUGGAAAGGAAUGCUAAUACCUGAUACUGUGAGAGAGCUUUGCGUCCCAUUGGCUAGUUGGAGAGGUAACGGCUCACCAAGGCGAUGAUGGGUAGCCGGCCUGGGAGGGUGAUCGGCAACAAGGGGACUGAGACACGUCCCUUACGCUAACGGGAGGCAGCAGUGGGGAAUAUUGGACAAUGGACCAAAGUCUGAUCCAGCAAUUCGGUGUGCACGAUGAAGUUUUCGGAAUGUAAAGUGCUUUCAGUUGGGAAGCGGUACCAACAGAAGAAGUGACGGCUAAAUACGUGCCAGCAGCCGCGGUAAUUC